rnacentral:lncRNA from 1 species
GAAGCCCUGUGCUCUGAGCACAGCCUGUGAAGCAACAGGGCCCUGGGGACAACCACACGUGUGUUCGAAGUCCAGCGCUGCAGGGAGUGAAAAGAGCAGCCAGUCACUGAAGAAAGAGUGAAUAACUCUCUCUGCCCGCCUGCUUUAGUGAGGACACGUUUACCAGGUGCCUCAUGAGGGACUCGAGGUAUGUGAUUAUUAAUUAAUGGUUUUGGUUCUUUUCCCCUCAAGUUUUUAUUAGUGAAAAUAGAAGUGCUUCUCCCAGGUUUACCAAGUUAGAAUCAAAACUUCAGCUCUGAAUGCUGGGAGAAAGAAAACCCCAUUCUGUCAUUGCUGAAGGUGUGAUCGCUGUGCAAAGAGCUCUGUAAUCCAGGAACAACUUGUGAAUGUGGGAGAGGAAACGACCACUCAGCCAUCCAUGCUGUACUUUGAUGUGAAAGAUAGUAAGAAGAACUAUCUGCUGAAUAAAAUGAAAUAAAUUGAAAACAAAGUUCUUACAUUGUGUGGAAUGCAGUGAAGCUGCAUAGCCCACCCUUUUCAAGGAGUGGGGAGGAUUAGGAGGUACCGAUUCUACAUCACCCAACCUGUUCUACAUGCUGUGAUUUAAAUCUUCUGGAAAGAGAAUGGGGGAAAAAGUAAAUCUGUAAGAUAUUGUGCGUUAGACUGUCCCUGUUCUGAUAACAGUACCAUGGAUCGGGCCUUUU